UUGUAAACUGCUUUUGUAGGAAACGAAACGGCCUUUUCUAAUAAAGAGGAAUAAAGACGGUACCGUAAGAAUAAGCACCGGCUAAAUACGUGCCAGCAGCCGCGGUAAUACGUAGGGUGCAAGCGUUAAUCGGAAUUACUGGGCGUAAAGCGUGCGCAGGCGGUUAUGUAAGACAGUUGUGAAAUCCCCGGGCUCAACCUGGGAACUGCAUCUGUGACUGCAUAGCUAGAGUACGGUAGAGGGGGAUGGAAUUCCGCGUGUAGCAGUGAAAUGCGUAGAUAUGCGGAGGAACACCGAUGGCGAAGGCAAUCCCCUGGACCUGUACUGACGCUCAUGCACGAAAGCGUGGGGAGCAAACAGG
rnacentral:rRNA from 1 species